UCCCGUGGCUACUGGGUAUUUGGCAAUUCAGCAUCCCAACUGAGUCACUGGUUGUGAAGGCAGCAAAUUUCAUUUCCUUCCCUUUAUUUGAGAGCUGCGGGACCACGAGACAGAAGCGAGCAGAGGCUCCCAGGACGAGAGGCGGAAAAGGUGCGGCGGAUCGAGCCCCGUUCGGAGAGAUGGGACUGGCUGCGAUGUCUUCAAUUUGGCUCAUCAGUUGCUUCUUCCUGGCAGCUUACAGCUCUGCUCAACAUAUGGAGACGUCCAGAGCGGCCACGAAAGAGACGGGAUUUCUGGAGUCUCCACUGUGCUCUGGCGCCGAUGCCUCCGACCCAGGCUGGCCACACCGCAAGAAGUCAGUCACGCUGCUGCCCUCUUUCACCAAGACGACCACUCAACGUCCCACCAC